rnacentral:rRNA from 1 species
AAGGCGGGGAUGACGUCAAGUCCUCACUUGGCCCUUACAUCCCGGGCUACACACGUGCUACAAUGGCAGGUACAGAGGGCUGCGAAGCCGCGAGGUGGAGCGAAUCCCAGAAAACCUGUCUCAGUCCGGAUUGAAGUCUGCAACUCGACUUCAUGAAGGCGGAAUCGCUAGUAACCGCGAAUCAGCAGGUCGCGGUGAAUACGUUCCCGGGCCUU